GAAGAACGCGGGCGGCGUGCUUAACACAUGCAAGUCGAACGGAAAGGCCCUGCUUUUGUGGGGUGCUCGAGUGGCGAACGGGUGAGUAACACGUGAGUAACCUGCCCCUGACUUUGGGAUAACUUCAGGAAACUGGGGCUAAUACCGGAUAGGAGCUCCUGCUGCAUGGUGGGGGUUGGAAAGUUUCGGCGGUUGGGGAUGGACUCGCGGCUUAUCAGCUUGUUGGUGGGGUAGUGGCUUACCAAGGCUUUGACGGGUAGCCGGCCUGAGAGGGUGACCGGCCACAUUGGGACUGAGAUACGGCCCAGACUCCUACGGGAGGCAGCAGUGGGGAAUAUUGCACAAUGGGCGGAAGCCUGAUGCAGCAACGCCGCGUGCGGGAUGACGGCCUUCGGGUUGUAAACCGCUUUCGCCUGUGACGAAGCGUGAGUGACGGUAAUGGGUAAAGAAGCACCGGCUAACUACGUG
rnacentral:rRNA from 1 species